GACAAAUCAGCUGUUACGUAAUGCUGAGCUAGGUAGAGGGUUUAUAAGAAGUGAAUUUAUUUAUAUUUUUAGACGGUUAUAACGAAAAGCCUCCGUGUGAUGCAACGUGUGGCUGUCAUCGGAGCAGGGGCUGCAGGACUCUGUGCGGCCCGGCACCUAUCGAGAAACCACAACCUAUUUCAACCUGUGGUCUUCGAACAAUCUGAUUGUGUUGGAGGGACAUGGGUUUACACAGAGAAUACAGAAACUGAUCAAUAUGACCUGCCUGUUCAUUCGAGCAUGUAUUCAUCUUUAAAGACUAAUUUACCAAAAGAAGUAAUGGCGUUUCCAGAUUUUCCUUUCGACAAUAAUUUACCAUCGUUUAUUGGUCAUCAAGAUGUUUUAAAGUAUCUUGUUAAUUACUCCAACGCCUAUGAGUUAAACAAAUUUAUAAAG